rnacentral:lncRNA from 10 species
AGUUGAAUGAGUCAAUGUAAACAGAAGGAUUUGUGUCCCCCUUGAGAGAAAACUGGGGGAAGUCCUGGGACCCUUUUAGGGCAGGGAGGAGCUGGAUGAACCUGGGCAUCUGCCGCCCUCGCCAACAGGAGUUGUGGGAGUGCUCCCUUCCCCAGGAGGUCACAGAAAACAAGCAUGUCCAGUGUGCCAGAGGAUUCGGACUGAGAGAACUACUCUUUUCCUUUAAGUGUGAUUGUUCAUCUCAGGAUAAAAUGGGAAAGGAAUGACCAAACCAACAGAACAUAAGAAAGAAGAACUCGGAGUCCAGGAAAGUCCUGAAAAUCUCGACAAUUAGAAAGUCUUCAGUGGAGCUGGGAAACUGAAAACUUUCCAGGGGAAGCAGAAACCCAGGUUCUGUUACUUUGCUUCUGGAGACUUGAGCUUUGAUUCUGUGCCUUCUUAAAGGCUGGAGCCUGGAGCACAUGAGGAGAAUUCACAGAAGUGCCUGGAAAGGGAACUGCGGUGGAUCUUACAGAGACUUGAAACAUGUGGAGAAGUUUGGCUUUUAUUCAUAAAGGACAAAGUGCUGCCUCCACCUCCCCACCUGUCUAGUUUUAUUCAGUGAUGUCUAUCCUCAUGACUUGGGCCAUUUUCAUCAUCACGUCUAUUUGGUUACCUAGGUCUGCCGUUUUUUGUUUUUGUUUUUUCCCAAAUGCUUUCCACAUAAGAUGGCCUAGGUGUCAAUUGCUUAUCUCAGUGGAAUCAUUUCUACUCACCUAUAAAAUGGGAGUAAUAAAAAUGCUAUGUAUCCGAUUGUUGUGAGGAUGAAAUGGGAAUACUUGGACAUGGGGCCUGGUUGCUGGUGGAGGCAUCUGCUCUGUUCCCUGCUGCAUCCCUCACUUCCUGCCAUCCUCUUGCCCCACUUCUGCAGUGCUGAGUGACAGGCCCACAGCCUCCAUGCCCUCCUGUUCCUUCCUUCUCUGCUGAUCUUUUCUGUUUCCAGACACAUCUGCCACUACUGUCUGGUCCAAACACUCUUUCACCUAGGAAGUUUAAGCACGUUGUUGAACUAGAAAUAAUGUAUUCACUCAGUUACUUAUACACACAUUCUUUUCCCACUCAUUAAAAGUGGUUUGAAAAAUUUAUUUCAUUGUUCUUAAAGUGCUGAAUCAAGUGUUUUUCCUUUGGUUGGGAAAGGCCUUUGCCGUUUACCUUCAUCCACUCAUUCAUUUGUGAAGAUGUGUGUGCAGGCCCUAUGGUGACAGUGUCUGUCUAAAGUGAAGAGCUCAGCACCCAAACUCUAGAACAUCUGAAAACGUAGCUAGAUCCUGUGUUCUCUUCUCUAACAGAGUUAAAGUUAAGGUGCAUUUACUCAGUGCCUAGGGGGUAAAAAUGUGCGGUUCAGACUUCAACCAUGUGGGUGCUGUUUUUACCCAGAAUACCAACUGAUUCCAGGAAAGAGUAUUAGGAGAUUCAAGAUUUCUAUUUCUUUUGAACAUAUGUUAUUAGAGUUAAUUGUUAGGAAACUAUUUUAAAGAUAAUUAUUUGAAUACUGAAAAUGACUUUGAUUUCUAACAGGAAGCCAGGCUCACUUGUUACUUCCACAUAUGUGAUGAAGGCAAAAGACCACAGUUGCAUACAUUUGCAUAGUUAUCCUCGAGACUGGAAAUGUCAGUAAGAUGCAAUUGAUUGACUUGCUGAUUGUCUUUCCUCAUGUGAGCGUCUUUUCCAUGUUCAUGACCCACCACUGAUAUUCUGUGGAACUGAACUAAAACUAUGGUCCCCGAAGCCUUGUUGGGGGUGUGGAGGAAGGCGAGAGAGUGGAGGGGAGGGGACGGACACAGUAUUCCUGUCAGGGUGCAGCUGCAGCUCUGCUCCAAGGCACACUUUUCCUCUGGAUUCCACAGAAUUUCUCCCAGGGUCAUCCUUCUCCAGUAGCAGCCCCUCCACCUGGAGCAUCACUGGUGGGCAGUUGUGGCGUCAGGCACUGUCUCUGCCCUCAUCUGCUCUGGCUGGGGCAGCAGGAUUGAUUUCAUUCAAAAGACAACUGGUUUUCAUGGCAGGGGCUAUAGUGAGCAGAGCAGAGAACAGGCACUUGGGCGUCCUACUGGCUUUCUUCUUGCCUGAGGCUAGUCCUCCUUGAGCCAAUCCUAUGUCUCCUAGAGCACUUAGUUGUCCCUCUGUACUUUCAACCUCUGGCUCCCGCCCUAUAGUCAUAAAUGUGCUAGAGGCUUAAAACAAAUGCCUCACCACCACCUUUUAUCUCGCCUACCAACAAGUACCCCCCAAAAUUAGGGUUAGCUGAGCAUGGUGUCUCAUGCCUGUAAAUCCCAGCACUUUGGGAGGCCGAGGCAGGAGGAUCACCUGAGCUCAGGAGUUCCAGACCAGCCAGGGCAACAAAGUGAGACCCUGUCUCUAGAAAAAAAAAAAAAAAUUUAGCCAAGCAUGGUGGCACACAGCUGUAGUCCCAGCUACUUAGGAGGCUGGAGGACCACUUGAGCCUGGGAGGUCGAGGCUAUAGUGAGCUGUGAUUGUGCCACUUCACUCCAGCCUGGGCAACAGAGUGAGACCCUGUCUCAUAAAAAAGAAAAUUAAGGUCAUAUUUGCUGUUUACUUCUCUAUCUUCCAUUCAUUUCUUUUUGGUGACAGCUUAAUUGAGAUAGAAUCCAACAUAUCAUACAAUUCACCCAUUGAAGUGUAUAAUUCAAUAGUUCUUAAUAUAUUCACAGAUUGCCAUCAACCCCAAAGGAAACCCUGUGGCCAUUAGCAGUCACUCCCAUUCCCUCCUCUGCUCAGCUGUAGGUAACCACUAAUCAACUUUUUGUCUAUUC